UACGUAGGCAGCAAGCGUUGUUCGGAGUUACUGGGCGUAAAGGGUGUGUAGGCGGUUCUUUAAGUUUGCUGUGAAAUCUCCCGGCUUAACCGGGAGGGUGCGGUGAAUACUGAGGGACUAGAGUACGGGAGAGGAAAGUGGAAUUCCGGGUGUAGUGGUGAAAUGCGUAGAGAUCCGGAGGAACACCAGUGGCGAAGGCGACACGCUGGGUCACACCUGACGCUAAAGCGCGACAGCAUGGGGAGCGAACGGG
rnacentral:rRNA from 1 species